CUACGGGAUGCUCCAGUAAGGAAUAUUGCGCAAUGGAGGCAACUCUGACGCAGCCAUGCCGCGUGCAGGAAGAAGGCCUUAUGGGUCGUAAACUGCUUUUAUUUAGGAAUAAACCCCCGAACGUGUUCGGGGCUGAAGGUACUAAACGAAUAAGCACCGGCUAACUCCGUGCCAGCAGCCGCGGUAAUACGGAGGGUGCAAGCGUUAUCCGGAUUUAUUGGGUUUAAAGGGUGCGCAGGCGGGCUAUUAAGUCAGUGGUGAAAUCCCGGGGCUCAACUCCGGAACUGCCAUUGAUACUGAUAGUCUUGAGUUUGGUUGAAGUGGGCGGGAUGUAGCAUGUAGCGGUGAGAUGCAUAGAUAUGCUACAGAACACCAAUCGCGAAGGCAGCUCACUAAGCCAAAACUGACGCUCAUGCACGAAAGCGUGGGGAUCAAACAGGAUUAGAUACCCCCGUAGUC
rnacentral:rRNA from 1 species